AACGAACGCUGGCGGCAGGCUUAAUACAUGCAAGUCGAACGCACCCUUCGGGGUGAGUGGCAGACGGGUGAGUAACGCGUGGGAAUCUACCCAAUACUACGGAAUAGCUCCGGGAAACUGGAAUUAAUACCGUAUGUGCCCUACGGGGGAAAGAUUUAUCGGUAUUGGAUGAGCCCGCGUUGGAUUAGCCAGUUGGUGGGGUAAUGGCCUACCAAGGCGACGAUCCAUAGCUGGUCUGAGAGGAUGAUCAGCCACACUGGGACUGAGACACGACCCAGACUCCUACGGGAGGCAGCAGUAGGGAAUAUUGGACAACGGGCGAAAGCCUGAUCCAGCCAUGCCGCGUGAGUGAUGAAGGCCUUAGGGUUGUAAAGCUCUUUCAGUGGGGAAGAUAAUGACGGUACCCACAGAAGAAGCCCCGGCUAACUUCGUGCCAGCCGCCGCCGUAACAC
rnacentral:rRNA from 1 species